rnacentral:misc_RNA from 1 species
GAAAUGCGAUAAGUAAUGUGAAUUGAAGAAUUCAGUGAAUCAUCGAAUCUUUGAACGCACCUUGCGCUCCUUGGUAUUCAUUGGAGCAUGCCUGUUUGAGUAUCAUGAAAUCUUCAAAGUAAAUCUUUUGUUAACUCAAUUGGUUUCUACUUUGGUAUUGGAGGUCUUUGCAGCUUCACACCUGCUCCUCUUUGUUCAUUAGCUGGAUCUCAGUGUUAUGCUUGGUUCCACUCGGCGUGAUAAGUUAUCUAUCGCUGAGGACACUGUAAAAGGUGGCCAAGGUAAAUGCAGAUGAACCGCUUCUAAUAGUCCAUUGACUUGGACAAUACUUUUAUGAUCUGAUCUCAAAUCAGGUAGGACUACCCGCUGAACUUAAGC